rnacentral:sRNA from 1 species
AUGUGCCAAGUGGAGUUCGAGCUGGCGCGCGCGGCCCUCAAGCAGCUGAAGGGUCCCGUGAGCGAGCAGGAGAAGCUGCUGGUCUAUGGCUUGUACAAACAGGCCACCCAGGGCGACUGCGACAUCCCCGCCCCUCCGGCCUCAGACGUGAAAGCCAGGGCCAAGUG